UCGAGAAUCUUCGGCAAUGGACGCAAGUCUGACCGAGCGACGCCGCGUGCGGGAUGAAGGCCCUCGGGUUGUAAACCGCUGUCAGAGGGGAUGAAAUGCAUAGGGGUUCUCUCCUAUGUUUGACAUAUCCUCAGAGGAAGUACGGGCUAAGUUCGUGCCAGCAGCCGCGGUAAGACGAACCGUACAAACGUUAUUCGGAAUCACUGGGUUUAAAGGGUGCGCAGGCGGCUUGGCAAGUUGGGUGUGAAAUCCCUCGGCUCAACCGAGGAACUGCGCUCAAAACUGCCAGGCUUGAGGGAGAUAGAGGUGAGCGGAACUUAGGGUGGAGCGGUGAAAUGCGUUGAUAUCCUAAGGAACACCUGUGGCGAAAGCGGCUCACUGGAUCUCUUCUGACGCUCAGGCACGAAAGCUAGGGUAGCGAACGGGAUUAGAUACCCCCGUAGUCC
rnacentral:rRNA from 1 species